rnacentral:tRNA from 2 species
GGAGAAAUGGCAGAGUGGUCGAUCGCGGCGGUCUUGAAAACCGUUGUACAGCAAUGUACCGGGGGUUCGAAUCCCUCUUUCUCCG